GGGCCCGCACAAGCGGUGGAGCAUGUGGUUUAAUUCGAUGCAACGCGAAGAACCUUACCUACUCUUGACAUCCAGAGAAUUUAGUAGAGAUACUUUAGUGCCUUCGGGAACUCUGAGACAGGUGCUGCAUGGCUGUCGUCAGCUCGUGUUGUGAAAUGUUGGGUUAAGUCCCGCAACGAGCGCAACCCUUAUCCUUAGUUGCCAUCAGUUCGGCUGGGAACUUUAGGGAGACUGCCGGUUAUAAAACCGGAGGAAGGUGGGGACGACGUCAAGUCAUCAUGGCCCUUACGAGUAGGGCUACACACGUGCUACAAUGGGUGGUACAAAGGGCAGCAACCUCGCGAGAGCAAGCAAAUCCCAAAAAGUCACUCGUAGUCCGGAUUGGAGUCUGCAACUCGACUCCAUGAAGUCGGAAUCGCUAGUAAUCG
rnacentral:rRNA from 1 species